rfam:Schistocephalus solidus strain NST_G2 genome assembly, scaffold: SSLN_scaffold0000770
GGGCCUGUGGCUCAAUGGUAGAGCGUUCGACUCAAUUACCACAGGUCGUGGGUUCGAAUCCCAGGUGGUCCA